UAUUAUGAUGUUCAGUAGCCUUAAUGAAUUGGCUAGAUUCACUAUAAGAAAAUAGUAAUUUACUUGCGGAUUAUUACAUACGGAUUUUAAUCUGUAUAUAAAAAACCUGUUACAUACGGAUAUUAUAUACGGAUAUUAAAAAUUAAUUUGCAUACGGAUUUUUUCGUAUAUAAUGAUUUACGAUCAGAUUUUAAGAAAAUUAAUAAUUAAAAAUUAAAAGUUCUAACCUAGCAUUCUCUUAAAAUCACUCUGACUUUUCCCUCUUUCUCAAAAUCACUUUUGUUUUUCCCUCUUCCUCACAGAACCUCUCACUUGAACUCUUCCACCGAAAUCUCAUUUCUCCUUCUUCCUCACACAACACAAAGAACCUUUUAUUUCCACUCUUGCACCGACAUUUCGUUCGUGUGGGCAUCACUCACUAUCGCGUCGUCGUUCUCUAUGGCUUACAUACUCUCCUACACUCUCAGCGCUCCCUUCCUCUCGCUGAAGUCACUCUCGCGCUUCCUCACUCAUUCUUAGCUUGGUUAGUCGUUCACUGUCUAUGAUUCUUCUUUCCCCCUAAAUUCCUAAAUCCCAAAAACCCUAUUUCCUCUCUUCUUUCUUUCUUUCGUUUAGUUUCGUAAAAGUAUUUGUGCGGGUUCGAGCUUUGUUGUCUAGCUUGGGCCAACACAUGUUUUUGGCCUUUCCAGGUAAGGUUUAUAAUGACCCAAUAUAAAGCAAUUUAAAAAUGACCAUUUUCUCGUACGGUUCUUCAGCACAAAUCAGAACCAAAUAACAUCUUGCUCUGCUCGAGUGUGUCGCUGACCAGUAGUUGGGGUUUUUGGUUCUCGUAAAAUAUAUUCAAACUCAAGCUUACGUUGACAUUGUUAUGUUGGGUCAUGCCUUUAACUUAAUUGCAAAUUAGUUUAUAGCAAUUUGAUUUUUAUUUAGCUUUUAAGUUGUUGUAGGUUUAACUCUCUGUUUCUAUUUGGUGGAUGUUAACUACUGUUUUUAGGCUUCUUACUUCACUAUUUAUAUUUGCCGUGUUUUUGUACCCGUGUAUAUACAUUGUAUAUUUUGGUUCCAUUUUUUCUUCAUUCAAAAUGAGUGGAAUUUGACAUAUUUACCUGUCUAUUGUAGUCAUGAAUCUCCCUUUUUUUAGUCAUGAGUUGUUAUGAGAGUUUGUAAAUGCAGCUGCUGUAAGCAUUAAUUAAGUGGCUGCCACGCUGGACUUUUUGUUGCCAUGGUGGAAUUAAUCAAGUGGGUGAUGUUCUGAAGUGCUCACUCCUUUCAUUAUCUCUUCUCUACAUGGAUUUAAGUUUCAUACAAUUUCAAGCCUGAUUCACGGUCAUUUGCUUGUUUGCAAUUGACUUUGUUAUUUUUCUGAAGUUAGUUUUACAUUGAAUUUACUUUUCUAUGCAAUCACUUUCAUUUUCGUUGAUUAAAAUGUUCAAUACUCAACUUUGCUUUUGCACUUACGUUCUGUACCUCUAAUUUAAUUUGUGUUUCUGGUUUCCAUCUUUUAAGUUCAUUCAGUUUAGAUUGAAUAGAGAA
rnacentral:lncRNA from 1 species